AGUGAACGCUGGCGGCGUGCCUAAUACAUGCAAGUCGAACGGAGUGGCGCACGGGUGAGUAAUAUAUAGCUAAUAUGCCCCUUGCUGGAGGACAACAGUUAGAAAUGACUGCUAAUACUCCAUAGCAAGGGAUGAGACUAUAUCGUAUCCUCUAGUCGGUGUGGUAACGGCCUACCGAGGCUAUGACGCGUCACGGGUCUGAGAGGAUGAUCAGGCACAUCGUAACUGAGACACGGUCCAAACUCCUACGGGAGUCAGCAGUAGGGAAUAUUGCGCAAUCGGCGAAACCCUGACGCACCAACGCCGCGUGGAGGAUUACCCUUUUCGGAGCGUAAACUCCUUUUGUUAGGGAAGCGGGAAAGAAAGAAUAAGCACCGGCUAACUCCGUGCCAGCAGCCGCGGUAAUUC
rnacentral:rRNA from 1 species